GACGAACGCUGGCGGCGUGCUUAACACAUGCAAGUCGAACGAAGUGGCGAACGGGUGCGUAACGCGUAAUCAACCUGCCCUUCAGAGGGGGACACCAGUUGGACACGACUGCUAAUACCGCAUACUGAAGGAGGGGAUUGCGUCUGAUUAGCUGGGUGGAGGGGUAACGGCGCACCACGGCGAGGAUGAGUAGCCGGUCGGAGAGGAGGAACGGCCACAUUGGGACUGAGACACGGCCCAGACUCCUACGGGAGGCAGCAGUGGGGAAUCUUCCGCAAUUGACGAAAGGCUGACGGAGCAACGCCGCGUGAGUGAUGACGGCCUUCGGGUUGUAAAGCUCUUUUAAUCGGGACGCGGUACCGGAAUAGAAAGCCACGGCUAACUACGUGCCAGCAACCGCGGUAAUAC
rnacentral:rRNA from 1 species